CGGUAAUUCCAGCUCCAAUAGCGUAUACUAAAGUUGUUGCAGUUAAAAAGCUCGUAGUUGGAUUUCUGCGGGGACGGAGCGGCCGGACGCAACUUGCGUCUCGAGCUAGCGCUUUCCCCGCAUCCUGCCGCGAACCGUGCUACCAUUAGUUUGGUGGCGCUGGGGAUCGGCUCGAUUACUUUGAGAAAAAUAGAGUGUUCAAAGCAGGCCACACGCCUUGAAUAAGUUAGCAUGGAAUAAUGACUAAGGACUUUGGUUCUUUUCGUUGGUGUUCGGGACUGAAGUAAUGAUUGAUAGGGACAGUUGGGGCGGUCCGUAUUCCAAAGCGAGAGGUGAAAUUCUCAGACCUUCGGAAGACGAACAGCUGCGAAAGCGUUCCGCAAGGAUGUUCCCUUUGAUCAAGAACGAAAGUUGGGGGAUCGAAGACGAUCAGAUACCGUCGUAGUCUCAACUAUAAACUAUACCAGCUAGGGAUCGGCCAACAUUUAAUUAUUCGACUUGGUCGGCACCUUAUGAGAAAUCAAAGCAUCUGGGUUCCGGGGGGAGUAUGGUCGCAAGGCUGAAACUUAAAGGAAUUGACGGAAGGGCACCACCAGGCGUGGAGCCUGUGGCUUAAUUUGACUCAACACGGGAAAACUUACCAGGUCCAGACAUAGGAAGGAUUGACAGAUUGAUAGCUCUUUCUUGAUUCUGUGGGUGGUGGUGCAUGGCCGUUUUUAGUCGGUGAAGUGAUUUGUCUGCUUAAUUGCGUUAACGGACGAGACCCCAGCCUGCUAAAUAGCGCGGCCGAGCUUUGCUCGGUACGAGCUUCUUAGAGGGACCAUGAUGCGCGAUAGCACAAGGAAGUUUGGGGCAACAACAGGUCUGUGAUGCCCUUAGAUGUUCUGGGCCGCACACGGGCUACACUGGCGCCUGCAACGAGCAUAUCAGCUGGCCCGAGAGGGUCUUGGCUAAUCUUUGGAACCGGCGCCGUGCUUGGGAUUGACCAUUGCAAUUGUUGGUCAUGCAACGAGGAAUGCCUUGUAAACGCGAGUCAUCAGCUCGCAUUGAAUACGUCCCUGCCCUUUGUACACACCGCCCGUCGCUCCUACCGAUGAAUGUUCCGAUGAAAUUUUCGGAGAGCGCCGGAGAACGGGGCUCUGCCCUGCAGAACUGGAGGCUCAAAGUCACUUAAAUCUGAACAUUUCGAGGAAGGAGAAGUCGUAACAAGGUAGCCG
rnacentral:rRNA from 1 species